AGAACGAACGCUGGCGGCAGGCUUAACACAUGCAAGUCGAACGGUUGUAGCAAUACAGCAGUGGCAGACGGGUGAGUAACACGUGGGAACCUUCCUAGGGGUACGGAACAACUCAGGGAAACUUGAGCUAAUACCGUAUACGUCCGUGAGGAGAAAGUUUUAACGCCCCUAGACGGGCCCGCGUAGGAUUAGGUAGUUGGUGAGGUAACGGCUCACCAAGCCUACGAUCCUUAGCUGAUCUGAGACGGA
rnacentral:rRNA from 1 species